GUAGAACUAGCACCGUGAACAGGGCUGCUACAGCUUGCAGUCCUGAGGCCCUGGGAAGAGGGUGAUGAAGCCAGAGGCAGGAGCCGAAGAAAAUAACAAUACAAAAAGGGAGAGGAAUGGGGAGACUAGAGCAGAAUGAAGGUGAAGAAAUGUAGCCACCCAAAUAGACAGCGGGAGAAGGAAAGAGAAAAAGGCACAGAAAUCAAUCACACUUGACAUCCCUGCUUCCAGCGCAUAAUGGAACUGCUACCAACACACUUUGAAAAGACACAAUUCCUUCUGUAGAGGUUCUCUCCCUCCUCCUCCUCCUCCUCCACCCGCCCUUCCCAAGGCUGAAUUGUGUAUAAAAUAUUUAUGGUUACUCCUGUUGUAGUAAAACUGCUCUCAUUACAGUUUCCCUGCUGAGUAAAAUUGCAUUGUAAAAGGAUGUGUCUGUAAUUCUGAAGUUUCUGGUAGUUUGUGAUGCAAAUCAUCUUUUUCAGCUAGUGAAGACUGUAAGAAUAAAAGCACAGGCCAGUUCUGAG